rnacentral:rRNA from 1 species
GCAACGCUUCUUGCCCGCGAAUCAUAUCGGCUAUUUUCUCGCCAAUCAUAAUCGUCGUGGGGUUCAAAUUGCCGGUGAUAAUCUGCGGAAUAAUCGACGCAUACACCACACGCAGGCCUUCUAACCCGUGUACGCGGCAUUCGGCGUCAAACACUGACAUAUAGUCAUAACGCAUUUUGCAGGUACCGCACGGAUGAAACGCGGUUUCGGCGUGGUUACGCACGAACUCAUCGAGCUGCUCAUCCGUCUGACAUUCCGUGCCGGGGCUGAUUUCGCGGCCACGGUAUUGAUCCAGCGCGGGUUGAUGCAUGAUCUCGGAGCUAACGCGUUAAGUCGACCGCCUGGGGAGUACGGCCGCAAGGUUAAAACUCAAAUGAAUUGACGGGGGCCCGCACAAGCGGUGGAGCAUGUGGUUUAAUUCGAUGCAACGCGAAGAACCUUACCUGGUCUUGACAUCCACAGAACUUUCCAGAGAUGGAUUGGUGCCUUCGGGAACUGUGAGACAGGUGCUGCAUGGCUGUCGUCAGCUCGUGUUGUGAAAUGUUGGGUUAAGUCCCGCAACGAGCGCAACCCUUAUCCUUUGUUGCCAGCGGUCCGGCCGGGAACUCAAAGGAGACUGCCAGUGAUAAACUGGAGGAAGGUGGGGAUGACGUCAAGUCAUCAUGGCCCUUACGACCAGGGCUACACACGUGCUACAAUGGCGCAUACAAAGAGAAGCGACCUCGCGAGAGUAAGCGGACCUCAUAAAGUGCGUCGUAGUCCGGAUUGGAGUCUGCAACUCGACUCCAUGAAGUCGGAAUCGCUAGUAAUCGUGGAUCAGAAUGCCACGGUGAAUACGUUCCCGGGCCUUGUACACACCGCCCGUCACACCAUGGGAGUGGGUUGCAAAAGAAGUAGGUAGGAACACGAUGAUCCCCAUCCCGCCAAACCAUUGCGGCAUCUGGCGAUAAAAGAGGAUGGCGUGAGGGAGCGAAUCCAGCCCCAC